rnacentral:misc_RNA from 1 species
UCAAACUUGGUCAUUUAGAGGAAGUAAAAGUCGUAACAAGGUUUCCGUAGGUGAACCUGCGGAAGGAUCAUUACCGAGUAUGCCCUUCUGGGCGGACCUCCAACCCACUGUAUACUGCUUUUUGUUGCUUUGGCGGGCCCGCGCAAGCUACUGGCUUCGGCUGGUAAGUGCCCGCCAGAGGAAACUAAACCCUAAUAAUUUUUGUUUUGUCUGAAAAAAACUAAAUAUUUAAAACUUUCAACAACGGAUCUCUUGGCUCUGGCAUCGAUGAAGAACGCAGC